GACGAACGCUGGCGGCGUGCUUAACACAUGCAAGUCGAACGGAAAGGCCCUGCUUUUUGGGGGUGCUCGAGUUGCGAACGGGUGAGUAACACGUGAGUAACCUGCCCUUGACUUUGGGAGAACUUCAUGAAACUGGGGCUAAUACCGGAUAGGAGCUCCUGCUGCAGGGUGGGGGUGGGAAAGUUUCGGCGGUUGGGGGUGUACUCGCGGCUUAUUAGCUUGUUGGUGGGGUAGUGGCUUACCAAGGCUUUGACGGGUAGCCGGCCUGAGCGGGUGACCGGACAAAUUGGGACUGAGAUGCGGCCCAGACUCCUACGGGAGGCAGCAGUGGGGAAUAUUGCACAAUGGGCGGAAGCCUGAUGCAGCCAAGCCGCGUGCGGGAUGAGGGCAAUCGGGUUGUAAACCGAAUUCGCCUGUGACGAAGCGUGAGUGACGGUAAUGGGUAAAGAAGCACCGGCUAACUACGUG
rnacentral:rRNA from 1 species